ACACGACUACAUUAGAUACCCGGGUAGUCCUAGCCGUAAACGAUACUCGCUAGGUGUCGGCCACGGUGCGACCGUUGUCGGUGCCGUAGGGAAGCCGUGAAGCGAGCCACCUGGGAAGUACGGCCGCAAAGGCUGAAACUUAAAGGAAUUGGCGGGGAGCACCACAACGGGUGGAGCUUGCGGUUUAAUUGGAUUCAACGCCGGAAAUCUUACCGGGACCGACAGCAACAUGAAGGCCAGGCUGAAGACUUUGCCGGAUUAGCUG
rnacentral:rRNA from 1 species